GUCUCUCACUCUGUGACUGCCUUUCUCUCUCACGCCUCUACCCUGUGUCUUCUGUCUCUCUUCACCUAAUUUCAUCCUCUAGGGUUUUUUUCUUUCUUUCUUGAACAGAGCUUCGGUUCUUCUUCUUCUUCUUCAUCGUAGCUUUGAUUCUUCUUCUUCUUCUUCUUCAACAUAGCUUCGACUUGCAGCCCUAACAGGUUAGUUCUGACUUUUCUUCUUCUUCUUCUCUAUUUUUCGAUCCUUCUAUGUGUGUAACAGAGGAGACCAAACAAAGAGGAAGAUGUCAGACCUAGACAGUCAAAUUGAGCGGCUGAAGAAGUGCGGGCCUUUGAAAGAGUCCGAAGUCAAGUCCCUUUGCCUGAAAGCCAUGGAAAUCCUCAUCGAAGAGAGCAAUGUUCAAAGGGUCGACGCACCUGUCACUUUUUUUUUUCCUUGCAGGUUACAUACACCAGUAUAAUUCAUUGGAUUCUCAUCCUGAUGUUUUAUAGUCAUUAUAUUCUCCCCUUCUGCCAUCAAGUUCUUUGGAAGGGUUGAGGCUUGCAAGAAACUGUCCAAGAACCUCGCUCAGAUGCAGACUAUACAAGAACAGGUUUACCUCCAGAGGUUAUCCUUGCACCAACUCUUUGUGAUGACCUAUGUCAACCAGGCAUGCAAGUAAUUGCUUCUACCAAGAUGGGUUAAUUUAAAGUUGCACUGGCACUUUUAACAGGUGAAUUCUGCCAAAACGAUCGAAAAAGAUGUUAAGGUUCUAAAAGUUAAGCAGAGUGAUGAAGAAAUGAUAGAUAAGUCGCUUGAGGCUAAGCUUGUUGAAAGGCAAGGAAAAGUGGAACAAUUGGAUGAAAUAAGAAAGCAGUUAGAAAAGGAAAGAGAUUUUGGGUUGAAUGAAUUUUGUU